UACGUAGGGUGCGAGCGUUAAUCGGAAUUACUGGGCGUAAAGCGUGUGUAGGCGGUCCAUUAAGUCGGGUGUGAAAGCCCUGGGCUCAACCCAGGAAGUGCACUCGAAACUGGCGGGCUAGAGUAUCGGAGAGGUUGGUGGAAUUCUCGGUGUAGAGGUGAAAUUCGUAGAUAUCGAGAGGAACACCGGUGGCGAAGGCGGCCAACUGGACGAAUACUGACGCUGAGACACGAAAGCGUGGGGAGCGAACAGG
rnacentral:rRNA from 1 species